AUAAUGUAUAUUUCAGUUCCCUUGGUAUUCCAGAGAUAUCUCGCAAUCUUUCCCAUGCUAGCAGCUCCUCUAUCAUCAUAUCCUUUUCUUGCCGCGUAAUCGUCUGUAUUCAAAUCGAUCGAUCGACGGACAGUCUGUCCUUACCAAGGCUACUACACCAGACUGCGUGUCCAUUAGUAAAGACCAUUCCAAUACCAUUUUUUAAACAUGUCUGGGACAUUAAACAACUGGUUUUCGAAGGCCUGUGAACAACAUGAUUUAGCAUUUUGAUUGCAAUCGUUGGACAAUCAUAAGGAAAAAAGAAAGAAAAUGGUAGCCCCGCUAAUCAAUUGGUCAGCCCGACAGGCAGUCUGGGUCGAUAUGUCUCGAUAUGUUUCCCCU
ensembl:ncRNA lncRNA:CR45887 long non-coding RNA:CR45887